rnacentral:tRNA from 1 species
GGGCCUGUGACCUGGCCAGGAUAGGGCGUCACCCUCCUGAGCUGAAUACCGGGGAUUCGAAUCCCCUCAAGCCCG